GACGAACGCUGGCGGCGUGCUUAACACAUGCAAGUCGAACGGAAAUGCCCUGCUCUUGUGUGGUGCUCGAGUGGCGCACGGGUGAGUAACACGUGAGUACCCUCUCCUUGCCUGUGGGAUAAAUUCCGGGAACUGGGGCUAAUAUCGGAUAGGAGCUCCUGCUGCAUGGUGGGGGUUGGAAAGUUUCGGCGGAUGGGGAUGGACUCGCGGCUUAUCAGCGUGUUGGUGGGGUAGUGGCUUACCAAGGCUUUGACGGGUAGCCGGACUGAGCGGGUGACCGGGCACAGUGGGACUCAGGUGGGGCCAGUAGGGCAUCGGCAGGAAGAAGUGGGAGUUAGACGACGAAGGGCGGAAGGCGGAUGGAGCGACUCCGCGUCGUAAAGGACGGUUUUCAGGUUAGAACCCGUACCCGCCUGACACGGAGCGAGAUUGACGGUACUGGGUAAGAAAGCAACGGCUAACUACGUG
rnacentral:rRNA from 1 species